CACCUGCGGUGAGACGAGGCCUCGGCCCGAUCGACCCUGACGUACUUCCCCAACGCCAGGUGCGCUCGGGCGGGGACCCCGCCUCACCGCAGUGUUGUU
rfam:Gordonia malaquae NBRC 108250 DNA, contig: GM1004.